GAUUGAGAGCUUGCUCUCAAGAAGUUAGCGGCGGACGGGUGAGUAACACGUGGGUAACCUGCCCAUAAGACUGGGAUAACUCCGGGAAACCGGGGCUAAUACCGGAUAAUAUUUUGAACUGCAUGGUUCGAAAUUGAAAGGCGGCUUCGGCUGUCACUUAUGGAUGGACCCGCGUCGCAUUAGCUAGUUGGUGAGGUAACGGCUCACCAAGGCAACGAUGCGUAGCCGACCUGAGAGGGUGAUCGGCCACACUGGGACUGAGACACGGCCCAGACUCCUACGGGAGGCAGCAGUAGGGAAUCUUCCGCAAUGGACGAAAGUCUGACGGAGCAACGCCGCGUGAGUGAUGAAGGCUUUCGGGUCGUAAAACUCUGUUGUUAGGGAAGAACAAGUGCUAGUUGAAUAAGCUGGCACCUUGACGGUACCUAACCAGAAAGCCACGGCUAACUACGUGCCAGCAGCCGCGGUAAUACGUAGGUGGCAAGCGUUAUCCGGAAUUAUUGGGCGUAAAGCGCGCGCAGGUGGUUUCUUAAGUCUGAUGUGAAAGCCCACGGCUCAACCGUGGAGGGUCAUUGGAAACUGGGAGACUUGAGUGCAGAAGAGGAAAGUGGAAUUCCAUG
rnacentral:rRNA from 1 species